rnacentral:lncRNA from 1 species
UGGAUACACACACACACACAAACACACUGAACACACACACACUGACACACAUAAACACUGAAACACACAAUUGACAAACACACACUGGACACUCACACGUGUUAAAUCAGUUUCUGGACCACAGGUUCUAGAACAGCUUCUAUCCCAGUUCUAUCUGCCUGUUAAAUCAGUUUCUGGACCACAGGUUCUAGAACAGCUUCUAUCCCAGUUCUAUCUGCCUGUUAAAUCAGUUUCUGGACCACAGGUUCUAGAACAGCUUCUAUCCCAGUUCUACCUGCCUGUUAAAUCAGUUUCUGGACCACAGGUUCUAGAACAGCUUCUAUCCCAGUUCUAUCUGCCUGUUAAAUCAGUUUCUGGACCACAGGUUCUAGAACAGCUUCUAUCCCAGUUCUAUCUGCCUGUUAAAUCAGUUUCUGGACCACAGGUUCUAGAACAGCUUCUAUCCCAGUUCUAUCUGCCUGUUAAAUCAGUUUCUGGACCACAGGUUCUAGAACAGCUUCUAUCCCAGUUCUAUCUGCCUGUUAAAUCAGUUUCUGGACCACAGGUUCUAGAACAGCUUCUAUCCCAGUUCUAUCUGCCUGUUAAAUCAGUUUCUGGAUCACAGGUUCUAGAACAGCUUCUAUCCCAGUUCUAUCUGCCUGUUAAAUCAGUUUCUGGACCACAGGUUCUAGAACAGCUUCUAUCCCAGUUCUAUCUGCCUGUUAAAUCAGUUUCUGGACCACAGGUUCUAGAACAGCUUCUAUCCCAGUUCUAUCUGCCUGUUAAAUCAGUUUCUGGACCACAGGUUCUAGAACAGCUUCUAUCCCAGUUCUAUCUGCCUGUUAAAUCAGUUUCUGGACCACAGGUUCUAGAACAGCUUCUAUCCCAGUUCUAUCUGUCUGUUAAAUCAGUUUCUGGACCACAGGUUCUAGAACAGCUUCUAUCCCAGUUCUAUCUGCCUGUUAAAUCAGUUUCUGGACCACAGGUUCUAGAACAGCUUCUAUCCCAGUUCUAUCUGCCUGUUAAAUCAUCAACCUAAACUGUUGUCAUCAGACUAUUACAACAUGACUGAACUUUUGGUUCCUUUUCUGAUCUUUUAC